rnacentral:tRNA from 1 species
GCUUGGGUAGCUCAGUCGGUAGAGCAUUUGCCCGCGAGAGGCAAAGAUCCCGAGUUCGAGUCUCGGUCCGGACA